rnacentral:rRNA from 1 species
UACGUAGGGUGCGAGCGUUGUCCGGAAUUAUUGGGCGUAAAGAGCUCGUAGGCGGUUUGUCGCGUCUGCUGUGAAAACUCGGGGCUUAACUCCGGGCCUGCAGUGGGUACGGGCAGACUAGAGGUAUGCAGGGGAGAACGGAAUUCCUGGUGUAGCGGUGAAAUGCGCAGAUAUCAGGAGGAACACCGGUGGCGAAGGCGGUUCUCUGGGCAUUACCUGACGCUGAGGAGCGAAAGUGUGGGGAGCAAACAGG